rfam:Dorea sp. CAG:317, WGS project CBGJ01000000 data, contig: 81
GGAAACCUGGAAUGUUCGAUACUUCUGUUAUUUUGAACCUACAUUACUUUAAACGGGACUCCUAUAUCUCUGUAAUAUGUCAAGCCUCCAAGUUAUGCAGGGGAAGGCAGAAAAGCAGAUGCGGGCACCCACCUAGCAGCAGCUAGGAGUCAAAAUACAGAAACCGGCAUUUUGGGGAAUAC